GUCGAGCGGAUGAUGGGAGCUUGCUCCCGGAUUCAGCGGCGGACGGGUGAGUAAUGCCUAGGAAUCUGCCUGGUAGUGGGGGACAACGUUUCGAAAGGAACGCUAAUACCGCAUACGUCCUACGGGAGAAAGCAGGGGACCUUCGGGCCUUGCGCUAUCAGAUGAGCCUAGGUCGGAUUAGCUAGUUGGUGGGGUAAAGGCCUACCAAGGCGACGAUCCGUAACUGGUCUGAGAGGAUGAUCAGUCACACUGGAACUGAGACACGGUCCAGACUCCUACGGGAGGCAGCAGUGGGGAAUAUUGGACAAUGGGCGAAAGCCUGAUCCAGCCAUGCCGCGUGUGUGAAGAAGGUCUUCGGAUUGUAAAGCACUUUAAGUUGGGAGGAAGGGCAGUAAGUUAAUACCUUGCUGUUUUGACGUUACCAACAGAAUAAGCACCGGCUAACUUCGUGCCAGCAGCCGCGGUAAUACGAAGGGUGCAAGCGUUAAUCGGAAUUACUGGGCGUAAAGCGCGCGUAGGUGGUUUGGUAAGAUGGAUGUGAAAUCCCCGGGCUCAACCUGGGAACUGCAUCCAUAACUGCCUGACUAGAGUACGGUAGAGGGUGGUGGAAUUUCCUGUGUAGCGGUGAAAUGCGUAGAUAUAGGAAGGAACACCAGUGGCGAAGGCGACCACCUGGACUGAUACUGACACUGAGGUGCGAA
rnacentral:rRNA from 1 species